rnacentral:tRNA from 1 species
GGAGAGAUGGUUGAGUGGAACAAAGAGACAAUUUGCUAAUUUGUAGUAUGGAUCAUCCAUACCGAGAGUUCAAAUCCCUCUCUUCA